AUGUACAAGCAGCAGAAGCAAACCUCCCCUCCGCUCAUUGCUGGUGGUUCAGACUCGGGUUGUCGAUGUAGAUCGAUCCAGUGCCACCCUCCUCGGUUAUUUUGCUUGGUGGUACGUGGAUAUGCUCGUGUAUUAGUAAAUCAUGUUGUUGACGCAGCAGGAGCGCUUGGUGCCACGUCCACUUCAUCUAAUUAUGUGAAUAUAGUGCUUGACAUGCUCGGUUCAUCCUCAUUGGCGUCUAAACCUGAGGCUCCUAACUUUCUCAAAUGUUCUCCGGUUAUUCCCCCUCUUCUUCAGAUCUGA
rnacentral:rRNA from 1 species